UGGGGAAUAUUGCGCAAUGGGCGAAAGCCUGACGCAGCGACGCCGCGUGUGGGAUGACGGCCUUCGGGUUGUAAACCACUGUCGGGAGGGACGAAGAUCUGACGGUACCUCCAAAGGAAGCACCGGCUAACUCUGUGCCAGCAGCCGCGGUAAUACAGAGGGUGCGAGCGUUGUCCGGAAUCACUGGGCGUAAAGGGCGCGUAGGCGGCCCGAUAAGUAGGGGGUGAAAUCUUGCGGCUCAACCGCAAGGCUGCCUUCUAAACUGUCGGGCUGGAGCACGGUAGAGGCAGAUGGAAUUCCCGGUGUAGCGGUGGAAUGCGUAGAGAUCGGGAAGAACACCAGUGGCGAAGGCGGUCUGCUGGGCCGUUGCUGACGCUGAGGCGCGACAGCGUGGGGAGCAAACAGGAUUAGAUACCCUGGUAGUCCACGCCGUAAACGAUGGGCACUAGGCGUCGGGGGGAGCGACCCUCCCGGUGCCGUCGCUAAUGCAGUAAGUCG
rnacentral:rRNA from 1 species